AUUGAACGCUGGCGGCAUGCCUUACACAUGCAAGUCGAACGGCAGCACGGGUGCUUGCACCUGGUGGCGAGUGGCGAACGGGUGAGUAAUACAUCGGAACAUGUCCUGUAGUGGGGGAUAGCCCGGCGAAAGCCGGAUUAAUACCGCAUACGAUCCACGGAUGAAAGCGGGGGACCUUCAGGCCUCGCGCUAUAGGGUUGGCCGAUGGCUGAUUAGCUAGUUGGUGGGGUAAAGGCCUACCAAGGCGACGAUCAGUAGCUGGUCUGAGAGGACGACCAGCCACACUGGGACUGAGACACGGCCCAGACUCCUACGGGAGGCAGCAGUGGGGAAUUUUGGACAAUGGGCGAAAGCCUGAUCCAGCAAUGCCGCGUGUGUGAAGAAGGCCUUCGGGUUGUAAAGCACUUUUGUCCGGAAAGAAAUCCUUGACUCUAAUACAGUCGGGGGAUGACGGUACCGGAAGAAUAAGCACCGGCUAACUACGUG
rnacentral:rRNA from 1 species